UGGGGAAUAUUGGACAAUGGGCGAAAGCCUGAUCCAGCCAUGCCGCGUGAGUGACGAAGGCCUUAGGGUUGUAAAACUCUUUCGUCGGGGACGAUAAUGACGGUACCCGAAGAAGAAGCUCCGGCUAACUUCGUGCCAGCAGCCGCGGUAAUACGAAGGGAGCUAGCGUUGUUCGGAAUCACUGGGCAUAAAGCGCACGUAGGCGGAUAGUUAAGUCAGGGGUGAAAUCCUGGGGCUCAACCCCAGAACUGCCUUUGAUACUGGCUGUCUCGAGGUCGAGAGAGGUUGGUGGAAUUCCUAGUGUAGAGGUGAAAUUCGUAGAUAUUAGGAAGAACACCAGUGGUGAAGACGGGUUGCUGGGCUGACACUGACGCUGAGGCGCGAAAGCCAGGGGAGCAAACGGGAUUAGAUACCCCCGUAGUCCCUGAGCGGGCUGGCAAGGCGCAU
rnacentral:rRNA from 1 species